GCAAUUAAUAUUCGUGUAUUGAAAAGCAAAGGGUCAACUAUGCAGACAGUAGCUGCCCGGCAGAACCCGACAUCUUGAUAUUUUGAUCUAUUUUGGCAAGAUGGCGUCCGAUCCUGACAAGAUUCCCUCUUAGCUUACAAGUAAAUAAAUAAAGACCGAUCCCAGGAUAAUUGUGCGCGUAAAUUUCGCGGAGGUCCAUAGAGCAGAUUGACAUCAAAGUUCUUUGACUAUAGUCUAACCAAAAUAAUUUGUAAUUCCCAGAUGACCUUGGUUUAAGCAUACAAUUGAUAGAGUCUUUCUUGGAGAACCUAUAGUUCCAAAUUUCAGAAUAAAUCGCUUGAAAGCAUUAUUUACAUUUAAA